rnacentral:lncRNA from 1 species
CAACUGAUAUUUUGCAAUAUAGGGAGGAUAAGGAUGGGAAUUUGGAGGUCUUGGUCCAGUGGGAUCAGUUACCAGCAUGUGAUAAUUCGUGGGAACUUGCUACACAAUUGCAGCACUCUUUUCCUCGGUUUCCCCUUGAGGACAAGGUCAUUCUUUUGGGGGGGAGUAUUGAUAGAGCUAAGAAGGACUGUAGGCCACCUAUUACUAAAGUGUAUGUGAGGCGCCAGCCUGGCACUAAAUGAAAAUAACUAACUAGUGAAUAAUAGUUAGUGGGAAUAGAAUAAAUAGGAGGGAAAUAGAGGAAUGGGGGUUAAUUUUGGAAACAGUGGAGUAGGAGUAACU